rnacentral:rRNA from 1 species
UACGGGGGGGGCAAGCGUUGUUCGGAAUUACUGGGCGUAAAGGGCUCAUAGGCGGCCAACUAAGUCGGACGUGAAAUCCCCAGGCUCAACCUGGGAACUGCGUCCGAUACUGGAUGGCUUGAAUCCGGGAGAGGGAUGCAGAAUUCCAGGUGUAGCGGUGAAAUGCGUAGAUAUCUGGAGGAAUACCGGUGGCGAAGGCGGCAUCCUGGACCGGCAUUGACGCUGAGGAGCGAAAGCCAGGGGAGCAAACGGG